GUUAUUCCAGAAGGCAAUGAAGGAGUUUUCAUAUUGGAGCCAGAAAUAAAUUUUGAAGGGAAAAGAACCUUAAGGUCCUAGGAGAAAAAAAAAAGUACAUUAGAUGUACAUGAGAAACGGUCUUGCAAGGAAAGAAAUGCCUCUGAGCAAAACUACAAAUGGUUAAAAAAAAGAAUACUUCAAAAGGAAGGUGGCAUCACAUUUAAAGAUAAUAUCUUUGGCUCACUGGUGCUAUGAUUCCAGAGGGAUAUUUCUACCAUGCCAAGAUUUGAGAAACUGCAGGAAAAGAAGCUCACUUAUUCCCUGAAUCAAGGAAAAUGAACAGUUUUAAGGAAACACCAUAAAGACACCUACACUGAAUCAGAAGAUCUGGAAUAAAAUGUUGGAAGUAUUAAUUAAAAUGAAGGGGGUUGAAUUCA